AGCAGAAUGGCGCAGUGGAAGCGUGCUGGGCCCAUAACCCAGAGGACCGUGGAUCGAAACCACGUUCUGCUA
rnacentral:tRNA from 1 species